rnacentral:rRNA from 1 species
UGGGGAAUUUUUACGCAAUGGGGGAAACCCUGACGUAGCGACACCGCGUGAGCGAAGAAGCCCUUUGGGGGUGUAAAGCUCUGUCAGCUGGAACGAAAACAAUGACGGUACCAGCAGAGGAAGCAUCGGCUAACUACGUGCCAGCAGCCGCGGUAAGACAUAGGAUGCGAGCGUUGUCCGGAUUUAUUGGGCGUAAAGAGUUCGUAGGUGGUUUGUUAAGUUUGGUGUUAAAGAUCGGGGCUCAACCCUGGGACUGCACUGAAUACUGGCAGACUCGAGUGUGGUAGAGGCUAGUGGAAUUCCCAGUGUAGCGGUGAAAUGCGUAGAUAUUGGGGAAGAACACCGGUGGCGUAGGCGACUAGCUGGGCCAUAACUGACGCUGAGGAACGAAAAGCCAGGGGGAGCGAAUGGGAUUAGAUACCCCAGUAGUCCUGGCCGUAAAACGAUGGAUACUAGGCGUAUCGGGGUAUCGACCCCUGAUGUCCGCAGCUAACGCGAUAAGUAUCCCGCCUGAGUAGUACGGCC